AUCCCGCCGGAGAUCGGGUUAUAUCUCCACCUCCCUGUUGGACUUGCCCGGACCUUUGUGUCCGGGCUUUUUU
rnacentral:ncRNA from 1 species